rnacentral:rRNA from 1 species
AUUGAACGCUGGCGGCAUGCCUUACACAUGCAAGUCGAGGGGCAGCGGGAGUAGCAAUACUUGCCGGCGACCGGCGCACGGGUGCGUAACACGUAUGUAAUCUGCCCAUCACAGGAGGAUAGCCCGGAGAAAUUCGGAUUAAUACUCCAUAAUAGAAGAUAAAGCAUUUUAUUUUCUUGAAAGUUCCGACGGUGAUGGAUGAACAUGCGACUGAUUAGUUUGUUGGUGAGGUAACGGCUCACCAAGACUACGAUCAGUAGGGGUACUGAGAGGUUAAACCCCCACACUGGUACUGAGACACGGACCAGACUCCUACGGGAGGCAGCAGUAAGGAAUAUUGGACAAUGGCCGCAAGGCUGAUCCAGCCAUGCCGCGUGCAGGAAGACGGACCUAUGGUUUGUAAACUGCUUUUGAACGGGAGAAAACCCCCCUACGUGUAGGGGGCUGAUAGUACUGUUAGAAUAAGCAUCGGCUAACUUCGUGCCAGCAGCCGACGG